CGCAGAUAUACUUUUUCUUUAAAAAGAAGAACAAUUGUUAUGGGCGAGAUAAAUUAAGGAGAAGCAAAAGAGAAGCUUCAGAUAAAAUAAGUUUAACAAAAUAAAAGAAGUAGUCAGCAAGUUUCAAUCCAAAUUUCCAUUUCAUCCCAAUCUUCUUCUCCAUUCACCCACACACUCGCACUAUUUCUUGAGAGCUCCAUAUAUUCUGCAGGUUUCUUGUAAUAGAUACCGCUCGUCAGUUUCUUCAGGUUUGCUUUGAACUUCACCGGCCUGCAAUUUGGUUUGUGUAAUUGUAUUCUGAAAUAUCUGGAAAUGGAAUUUGUAUAAGUUCUGCGCUGUUGAUAAGAAUUGUGAUGAUAAUCUGUAAAAAGAUAGGACUACUACUCAUCGUUAUCUUUUGUUUGCCUCCAUCGUUAUCCUUUGUUUCUCCCCUUCCUUUGUUCAUUGUUUGUUAUCUUCAAUAUCAAAUUAUCAAGAUGUGGUUAUGAUUUUAGAAUUAAAAUAUUUUUGUUGUUUUUUCAUAAUGGAAGAAAGGGAUGAUAGAAAGAAGUUGUUGCCUAAUAUUAGUAGGUUCUACCGUCAUAAAACAAAAGGCAAGAAGAUGGAAUUUGAAACUUUUUUCAACCGUGUUGUGAAGGAAGUCAAAGAAGUCCGUCCAUCGAAAACUUUAGUCAUACAUCAAGGAAAGUUUUACAUGGUUUCUCCUCGAAAGAGCGAUAGAGGACAAAUUCUGGAAAUUUGAAAAAUCGGGAAGAACGUAAGAUUGAAACUCACGUUGUAGCUCGAUUUCCCACAGACGGUGCCAGUUGCUGAGUUGUUGAAGUUGGGAACCAAGACUGGCCCAAACUGAGUUCUCUUUCAUUUGAAAGAAUAUUCGAACCUCGAUGUCUUCUUCGUGUUCAACCAGUGAAGUUAUUGCUGGAGCCAACGUUGUGCUGCUCUCCUAAUUCGGCUAAACAAACGAGAUGUUCGAGCCCUGCAAGUUGUUAACAAUGAUAAGAAUUUUCAGCCAUAUAAAUCAACAAUGAUAAUAAUUUUUCCUUGAUUUUAAAAUCGUGGUACAGACUUGAUUUCCCUUUUAAUUUUUUAACAUCGUCAAAUGUGAUCAACUUUCAUUUCUUGCGCCAAUACUUGCCCUUGGUUCUUCCAAGAAUUUCACUCAUCUUUAGAUGAGGUGAAGCCAACUUUGCCGUUGGGUAAUUUUAGAAUUUUAUUCACUUUUGGGUGAAAUGAGACCAAUUUUUCCGUUAAGCAUUCUAAGAAUUUUACUCACUCUUGGGUAAUCCAACCUUUAUUCUUGAGCUUUUUCUUAAAAAUAUUACUCAUUCUUGGAUGAGGUAGAUCCAACCGUGCCAUUGGACAUUUCUCAACGUAUUUUGCUCAUCUUUGAAUGAGGUAGAUCCAACCUUGUCAUUGGGCAUUUCUUAACGUGUUUUGCUCAUCUUUGAAUGAGGUGAAGCCGGCUCUUUCACAAAACUAUGUUUUUCCACACAAUUUUUUUGACUUUCGGGCUCAUUUAACCUUCGUUGCUAUUCAUUUCACCUUUCAAUGUAUUUCUAUCAUAGCGGUGAGCAUUUUUUAAUAAUUCGGAUUUAUCCAUUUGUGGAUGGCGGCCGUUCUGUCGCGAAACCAGAGAGGCCGAGGGAGAUGGGGGUUGAGAAAUAGAGGGAGAGAGAAGACGAGGGAGAGUAGUGACUU
rnacentral:lncRNA from 1 species